UACAGAGGGUGCGAGCGUUGUUCGGAAUUAUUGGGCGUAAAGGGCGCGUAGGCGGUGCGGUAAGUCACCUGUGAAAUCUCCUGGCUCAACUGGGAGCUUGCAGGCGAAACUGCCGUGCUGGAGUGUGGGAGAGGUGAGUGGAAUUCCCGGUGUAGCGGUGAAAUGCGUAGAUAUCGGAAGGAACACCGGUGGCGAAAGCGGCGCGCUGGAUCUCUUCUGACGCUGAGGCGCGAAAGCCAGGGGAGCGAACGGG
rnacentral:rRNA from 1 species